rnacentral:lncRNA from 1 species
UACACCUGCAAACAAGGAGACUGAAAAUUAAUGCAUCAUUGCAUUUGUAAAAAGGAAAAAAAAAUUAAAGCAUAAGUCAUCCAUUUCACAAUGAAAACUGACUUUUUUUCUUCUAUAUCUACUUUCAGUCAGUCCCCUGUACACAUAGGGGUUAAAUAUAACUUCCUUUUUUAUGUUAUCCUAGCUCAGAAAUUUGUUGUCCAAUUGAUGUGGCCCAAUUGGGGUUGCUGAUAUGCACCAACCUGCGGUCCAGGAGCAGUUGCAGCUACCCCAACUCCAACAUUACUACCAAUAGCUAGUGGUCCUAAAUGGUGAGGACUAGCAAUGGCAGAGACAGGAGGCGACAUCGCCGGCGGUGGCUCCGGUGGGGCACGGUGACGCUGGCGACGCUAAGGCCGACUGAAGGCGGUGGUGCGGUGGCCGUCGGAUGGAGGCGGUGGUGUGCAAGCCCCAACCCCGAGUGCGAGAGAGAGCUAUGAGACCCAAC